rnacentral:rRNA from 1 species
UACGUAGGGUGCGAGCGUUAAUCGGAAUUACUGGGCGUAAAGCGUGCGCAGGCGGUUCUGUAAGGCAGAUGUGAAAUCCCCGGGCUCAACCUGGGAACUGCGUUUGUGACUGCAAGACUCGAGUGCGGCAGAGGGGGGUGGAAUUCCACGUGUAGCAGUGAAAUGCGUAGAGAUGUGGAGGAACACCGAUGGCGAAGGCAGCCCCCUGGGUCGACACUGACGCUCAUGCACGAAAGCGUGGGGAGCAAACAGG